UUCAUUUGCCAUAUCACCAAAUGAAGCAUCCAUGGAACUUUUGACCAAUUGAACUUGUCGCCUAUUCCACUUUAAAGUAGAAGACAAAAAACUUGUUCUGUGAACUACAAGAAACUUUGCCACUUGUUUAUUCUUCCCAGAAACAGAAAAUUCCUUAACCGGAAAACGCCGUGAUCCAAGGCGAGAAAGCGGUGGUCGGAAACAUAUCGAUGGGGUAACACAAAUCCCAGAAGAUAUAGACAUUGAUACAAAAAUUGGUGCGGUGUAUGAGAAUAAAGAUGAGAACUUUGUGGUUCAAAUGAAGAGGAAAAAAGUGAUUAAGAAGAAUAGAGAAAGAGGGUAAAAUGGGGUAUUAUAGGAAUUGAAGAAAGAGGGAUAGAAAUGAAGAUUGAGAAGUGUACCUUAUCAGAAAGUUAUGAGAAAUUGGUUGAACUACUUUGA